CUACGUGCAACUCCGCUUUAGGUUUGUGAGGUGUGAAGGUCUCUUGUGUAGAGAUCAGCCCAAGCAAAGCGGAAACCAGGCUGCCUGUCUCCAGCCACGCUGCCUCAUCACUGCCUCCCUUGGACAAGGCUGAAUGCCUCAGAGAUCCAUCUGGAUUUGAGUCAAGAGGAUCUGCUGGAGGCAAAACAAUAGGGCACAACAUGUGAGAGAGAACUGAAGAAUGGGUGCGUCUGUAUGGAACCUGUUGCACCAUUUAGAAGCCAUUUGCUGGACCAACUUUCCAUGGGUAGGAAAAAGAUUAUUCAGCAAGUGCUAAAAUAGGAUCCCCAAAAGGCUGACAAAAAUCUUUGGUUCCUCAGUGUCCAGCUGCUCCAGGCCACCUCCUUCUUCCACAACCUGUGAGUAGUUAAUGCCAGAACAUCUGCAUCUUCUUCCUGAAGAAGCCUUAAAAAAGAAAAUCCUCUGAGAAAUUCCCAAACGAGGGAUGGCUGCUGGUGUUUGAAGUGAGUUAAUAGGACCUGAAAACCUCACACAUGGCUUAUUUUUUAGUGGCUAGGUUUCCUUGAUAGUGCAAAAUUUCAUUCAGUCUAAAACGGUGUGUGUAAUGCAUUGCCACAGUGUGACUUAUUGAAGUGAUAACAUAAAUACUCGGACACAGGGUUAAGCCCCAAAUAAAGGGAAAUUCAGACUGUUUCCCAAUAAACAAUGUAUCAACAUAAAAUACUGUACCUGGAUGACCUGGCAAGUCAGUCUAGGUGACAGUGCUGCCAAAUCCCUUCCCUCCCCACUUGUUCUGGCUCUGCUUUUAAAAACCAGAAACGUGUAGUGACGGGCAGGAGAUGGUGUUGUCCCAGGGAGAAGCAGAGCCCCAUCUCCUUACACAGCUAGCAGAGAGUGGAGCAGGAGAGCAGAGCGUAGCACAGCGCUGUACAGCUGCAGGGCUGCUCACAACAGGGCAGAGCUCCCGGAGAAUGUGCUCUUUGUUCCCUGCCUUUAAAGGGUAAGAGAAACACUUAUGCAUGGCAAAUUAGCCCAAAAAUGUAUUUCUCUAAAACACCCGAUUGUCUGGGCAGCUCUGCAGCUGCAGGGAAG